rnacentral:rRNA from 1 species
GACGAACGCUGGCGGCGCGCUUAACACAUGCAAGUCGAACGGAAAGGCCUGCUUUCCCUUGUGGAUUGCGGGUACUCGAGUGGCGAACGGGUGAGUAACACGUGAGUGAUCUGCCCCCAACUUGGGUAUAAGCCUGGGAAACUGGGUCUAAUUCCCGAUAGGACUGCAGGGUGGUGCCUGUGGUGGAAAACGAUUUUCUAGUGGUUGGGGAUGAGCUCGCGGCCUAUCAGCUUGUUGGUGGGGUAAUGGCCUACCAAGGCGGCGACGGGUAGCCGGCCUGGGAGGGUGGACGGCCACAUUGGGACUGAGAUACGGCCCAGACUCCUACGGGAGGCAGCAGUGGGGAAUAGUGCACAAUGGGCGGAAGCCUGAUGCAGCGACGCCGCGUGGGGGAUGACGGCCUUCGGGGUGUAAACUCCUUUCGACCGCGAGGAAGCCACCUGGUGGGAAGGGUGGUGACGGUAGUGGUAGAAGAAGCACCGGCUAACUACGU